GAUGAGGGGCUUCUGGCACCAGAGGCACCCAGGUGUUUCUCAGCCCAGGAUUCCCACGCCCAACUCCACACCCCCGUAUCUCCUGCAAGAUUGGGCUUUCACUGGGAAGAGUAGUCAUGGGAGCAGCACCUGGGACCUAAUUCUACCAUUUUUUGGAGCCUCCCCUAACACCUAGCUCAUCCCAGCCUAUUCUCCCCCUGCCACUCUGCCGGGACCCAUUCUUACGCCCUCUAAACACCCUAGGCCACAAAAUAUACCCUGAAAGCUCCAGGUUGCCUUUCUGGGAAGCCCCACACUCCACCCCAUAUUCCCACCAGGCCCUGGGCCAGGUCCUUGUGCCACUUGUGGAAUUCAAAAAAGGUAAACGUUUUCUGAUAGAGUGGCUUGAGUGAAGGGCCAGCUCCCCCAUCACAAGGUACCAUCAGUCAGCCUGAGUCAAAAGAAAGAGUAGUGUGCAGAGGCUGCUCAGGGGAAGACUUGAGGAAGAGGCAGCCAUGGUCUUCUGGGAUGAAUUCAAGAUGUCUCGCAUCUGCUGGAAGGAAAAACUGACCCCAAUGAAAAUGAAACGGAGCUACUGGGUUGCUGCAGCAUUUGACCUUGCUGGAGGUCUAUUUCUGGAUUGGUAAUCAUCAUUUUGCCUCUCAUCAUGACAAGAUUGAAGGAGCUGAGACCUCUAAAGUCAAACAUCUUCAAACCACCAUUUCAGAAGCAGAUUAACAUUUGUAAUUUCUCCAACAUGAUGAAGAGAUUUAUCUGUUUGAUUCACUGCUAUAUUCCCAGCUCCUAGAAGAGUACUUGGCACACAGGAGGUACUUCAGUGAAUAAUGGUAAGUGGCCAAAAAAAGGAUACAUUAAAUGGCAUGAUCCCAGUGGGGGGUGGGGGAGGAGUGCUAUACACAUAUUUUGUAUCAGACACAAAAUAUGUAUCAUACACAGAGUAAUGUUGAAAAGUACACAUAAAUACCUAUAUUCACACCCACAAAGAAAAAAAAAUUAAGUAAAUGCUUUAAUUUUUGGCUGUAAUUUUUGACAUGAACCCAUUCAACUCCUUCAUAGGCAACCUAGUGAUCUUCAACAUCUACAGGACAGCCAUAAUGCUGCAAAACUUAGUGCAGAUACCCAGCCAAUGCUGUAAUAUACCUUAUUCCAAAUCAAAUACUCAGAUAUCCUCUGGUAUCAACCUCCAGAGUAUCUAUCAGUUUCCCCCUGAAUCCCAGAAGAAUAUUAACGAGAGUAUAUUUGAGCAGAAAAAGGGGAAUAUUGGGCUGAUUUUCUUUGUUUUAAUUAGUUUCCCUAACUCCUUAAA